CUUCAAUGGAGGCAGCUUCAGAUUUUCGAAUCCUUUCAUCUGCUGUAACUGCUGUAACUGUUGUUGUAGUAGUUGUUCUCGUUGCAGCUGCUGCUGUUGCUGUUGUGGAGGUGGUUGCUGGCCCUUGUGGUCUUUCCCAACACCACCUCCACUCUUCUGGAGCUUGCCAUUGUCUUUGGGUUGGCCUUUCCUUUGCUCGGGCUGUGGCUUCUGAAAUUGGUUGUUGCUGCUGCUGCUGCUGCAGUUGAUGUUGUUGCCACCCUUUGGAGCCAACAGCUCUGCAUGCUUGCCAGCCUUUCCAAGCUUUUU
rnacentral:lncRNA from 1 species